rnacentral:lncRNA from 1 species
AGGAAGGGGCCAACCGGUGAGAGCACAAGGCGGAAGAGGAAGGGAGAGGAAGCUACAGACAAGAGAGAGAGAGAGAGAGAGAUAGAUAGGAGAUAGAGGAGAUGAGGAUGAGGGAGGCGGAGCGGAGGGAGCUGAGGAGAUAAGGGAGUCGGAGCGGGCGGUGCGUGGAUUAAAAAAUCUAAGUGUUUGCGGUGUGCGUGGACGGGAAACCUCUUGUACCGGGUGGAGGCUUUACCCGGUAUUAA